GUUUUUCACCUCACAGGCAGUGCCAACCCCCUCCCACACACACACACACACACACACUUCCCUCUCGACUGCUUUCUAACAGAGCUUAAUGCAAAGGGGAAGGGAAAAGGAAGAAAUUUAAAAAAAAAAAAAAAGAAGAAGAAAAAAAAGCCAGCCAGCAUGAAAGAACCGGGCUGGCACAAGUCCCUCCAUUGCUUUCGUUCAUUAACUUGAACUAGAGAACUGCAUGAAGACAUUCCAAUUUUAAGAAGGGAUGGAGCUGCACAGAACUGCUUUUGACAGCAAAAAGUUGACUGUUCUACCAACUUCCAUAUCUACAGAUUGCUUCAGAGGAACUGUUGAGCAAAUCCCUUCAUGCAGAUAUCACUGGAGUCUGGAAAAGGGCCAGCAGAACUAACAGAGAAUUUGAAUGGAAGCCAACUGACUUUUUUUUUUUAAUUUCUAACAUUAAAGGGCAAUAUUUCCCCUUUUUUUA